CGGAGGAUCCAAGCGUUAUUCGGAGUGACUGGGCGUAAAGAGUUGCGUAGGGGGUUUGUUAAGCAAAUAGUGAAAUCUUGUGGCUCAACCAUAAGGCUAUUAUUUGAACUGGCAAACUUGAGAGUAUGAGAGGUAGAUGGAAUUCCCAGUGUAGGAGUGAAAUCCGUAGAUAUUGGGAGGAACACCAAUGGCGUAGGCAGUCUACUGGCAUAUUUCUGACCCUGAGGCACGAAAGCGUGGGGAGCGAACCGGAUUAGAUACCCGGGUAGUCCACGCCGUAAACGAUGGAUACUAGUUGUUGGCCGUAUCGACCCGGUUAGUAACGAAGCUAACGCGUUAAGUAUCCCGCCUGGGGAGUACGGUCGCAAGAUUA
rnacentral:rRNA from 1 species